rnacentral:lncRNA from 1 species
AAUUCAGAACUGAAUGGAUGUGUUGAUACAGGAGGUGUUCUGGGCAUGAUGCCUGUUCGAUGGCAUGAGGAAAUGGCACCGACUCAGGUCUGAGCAUUCACUCCAAGCUGCAGCACAGCCUCAGGGUUUGAUAAGCUGCGUGCUGCUGCUGAGCCUUCCAAGGAGCUCACCAACAAGAGCGUCGAUUACAGUGCAUGCAAAGAAACCACCUGCGAUCUGAGGCCAGCAGCACAUGUGAAAGAUGGCUCAAUGUGCUCUUCUGCUUGAAGCUGGCUGAGGACACCUGGGCAGAUGAGAGCAAGCAGAGCAUGGAGUAUGCUGGCCCUUCUCCACGUGGGAGCAGUUACUUAGGAUAAAUCUGGGAAACAUGGUCCUUGAUAGCAAGGGCCAAACUGGAGGCUUUGGGCUGGAGGAAGCAUGGAGCCCCAAAUCAAAAAUUGGGUGGCCUCUCUCUCAGCAUGGCAUGGCUCAGUUUUGGUGGGUGUCAUGUGCUUGCGAUCAGCAGCAGCCACAGCCAGUGCUCAUUUACUGAAUGAAAACUACAGCAGUAAACAGCAGCGAAAGUGUGGAAUAGUGUGGGGUGGUCCCCUCUGGGAGUCAUGGGAUGAUGACGUUGAGCAGAGGAGAGUUUCAGCACAGCACAAAGGAAAAUGUCCUGAUGCUGUGCUGGCCCUCAGGGGGAUGGGGAGAACCCCUUGG